UACGUAGGUGGCAAGCGUUGUCCGGAAUUAUUGGGCGUAAAGCGCGCGCAGGCGGUUCUUUAAGUCUGAUGUGAAAGCCCCCCGGCUCAACCGGGGGAGGGUCAUUGGAAAACUGGGGAACUUGAGUGCAGAAGAGAAGAGCGGAAUUCCACGUGUAGCGGUGAAAUGCGUAGAGAUGUGGAGGAACACCAAUGGCGAAGGCAGCUCUCUGGGACGGUACUGACACUGAGACGCGAAAGCGUGGGGAGCGAACAGG
rnacentral:rRNA from 1 species